rnacentral:lncRNA from 13 species
UGCAACUUUACUGAAUUCAUUUAGUAGUUCUAAUAGUUUUUUGCUGAAGUCUUUACAUUUCUUUAAAUAUAAUAAGAUUAUGUCAUCUGCAAGCAAGAAUAAUUUGAGUUUGAAUGCUCUUCAUUUCUUUCUCUUGUUGAUUGAUCUAGGUAGGACUUACAGGACUACGUUGAAUAAUGAUGGUAAAAAUGAGCAUUCUUUUUGUGUUUCAGAUCUUAGAGGAGAGGCUUUCACUUUGUUGCCAUUCACUGUGAUACUAGCUGUGGGUCUGUCAUGUGUGCCAUUUAUUGUGUUGAGGACUCUGUUGGGAGUUUGCCUAUCAAAACCUAUGGGAUACAGAGAAGGUAGUACUAAAGGGAAAGUUCCUAACUGUAAGCACCUACAUAAAAAAAAAAAUUAGAAAACUUCAAAUAAACAAUGCAUCUUAAAGAAUUAGAAAAGAAAG